AACUUUUACCACUGGUUAUUUGCAGCCACAGAGGUAGUUAUGUCUCACAUGGUCCUCCGCACUUGGGUUGAGCCACCUAAAAAGAAGAAAAAGCAAAUUAAUAAAUCGAAGAAAUUGAAAUAGAUAAUAAAUAGAAAAAAAUGAAAUCAGUUGAUACAAAGAAUACCACCGCCAGCUCUGUCAAGUAAGGUUCUUCGAUGUUGCUUUUUAUUCUUAUUCGUGACAUUGACAGAUAAAUGAAGUCGCGUUGCCAACACAGGGAAAUGAAGGUGCUACCAAGUACCUAUUUUCUGACUUGCUCUAGGGAGACGUUAUUACCUGCACGGUGGGGGUUCUCUUAAGUUCAGGAAAAUCAGCACUCUCAGAAUUCAGAAAUUCCGGGAGGGAGACCUCGGAAUACCCCGCGCUAGUAGAAAAAGACAAAUCUAUGAAGAUGAAAGAAGACAAAAAUAGCUUUUAUGUAAAAUGUCGGAUCGUGGAAAGCUACCUAGGGUCUCUCGAAAGUUAUAAAUGAGGGUACUAGCAGAGAAAAGACAGUUAAUUUGGUGGUGCUGAGUGCAAGUAGUAAGGAAAUCAAGAAAGAGCUUUUAAUUUCUAAAAAGAAAAGUGUAUUUUAAAGAAAAAGAAAUAAAGAAAUAUCUAAAUGUUUUGGAUUUCCCUUGUUGCGAAGGUUUGUGUGGUGAGAGUGUCUGGAGAAUUUUUAUAAGCUAUACACCAAGUUACUGAUUUAUGUGACCAGUGAAUAAAUGAACAGGUAGAUCAGGAACUUAUUCGCUGUGUUUUGAGAAUUGGUUUCAGCGGUAUCUAGUGAACAAUAGACAUACUAGAAGGCGUUGCAAAAUAUCCAAGGCAAAAGACAGUAUUACCUCCAGAUAAAGCUAUAUAACAGUUGUACUCCAGUGACAUCUAUGGGGUGUGGAGAUUUGUCGUAGAUAGAUCUCUCCCCAUCAACCAAGCUCAGCACCUAAGGCAAAUUGACCGAGUGCCCAACACAGUGGCUGGAAAUUGCAAUCCGAACAAACAUCGUUAAUUUGGUAACAAAUAAAUUCUGCUCUAAAGGAGCUGUAAAUCGUCGCCUCGCUCCUUCUGAAAUAUCGAGAUCUCUUCUCAGCAAGUUCAACUUGCCUUCCGGCCUGAUGGUUAGGAGAAAGGAUGGUGACAACGUUUUAUACUGUUUGUAUUUAAGUAUUUUUUUAUUUUAUUAUUAAUUUUUAUUUCCAUUUUUUUAUUAUUUAUUUCCAUUUUUUUAUUAUUUAUUUCCAUUUUUAGUUUUAUAUUUUAUAUAAGUGUGUAUACGUCGACUAAAUGUUUAUCUGUUAUUCUGUCUAAAAUUUACCCGUGUAAGCGACAUUCUCGAAGUUAUUUUUUUUGUUAGCAAUAGUGUUGUCCGAACGCCGACUUUAAAGAGCUCUUUCAGUAGACGUUAGUGAGGACUGGAAAUUCAGUUAUAUAAUUAGAUCAUAAUUAACUCUUUGCGGGUGUCGUUGUGAAGGCUAAAUAUCUGACGGUUCCACUUUGAAGACAUUUUGUUGGUAUGCUCAUUUGGUCAAAAGGCCGCUCGAUUUUAGUUGGAUAAAAAUUCCUUUUUUUUAAUUUAUUCAAUUUGUUUAUCUGAUUUAUUGUUUUUAUUUAUAACGAUAUUCAUAAACCUUAAACUCCAAAAUUCUAAACAAAUAAUUCUAAGAUAUAUUUUUUUGGUAUUUGCUCAUUUUUAUUAUAGGAAAAUUUUUAUAUUUGCAUUUAGUUGUUUGAUGAUCAAUUUGUUUAGCUGUGUUAGUUUUAGUUUAAUUUAGAAUAAAUAUUAUGUGAAAAAUUGAGACGAACGAAAAA